GUGAGCCAGUACAGGAUGGACCCGCGUCUGAUUAGCUAGUUGGUAAGGUAACGGCUUACCAAGGCGACGAUCAGUAGCCGACCUGAGAGGGUGAUCGGCCACAUUGGAACUGAGACACGGUCCAAACUCCUACGGGAGGCAGCAGUGGGGAAUAUUGCACAAUGGGCGAAAGCCUGAUGCAGCAACGCCGCGUGAGUGAUGAAGGCCUUCGGGUCGUAAAACUCUGUCCUCAAGGAAGAUAAUGACGGUACUUGAGGAGGAAGCCCCGGCUAACUACGUGCCAGCAGCCGCGGUAAUACGUAGGGGGCUAGCGUUAUCCGGAUUUACUGGGCGUAAAGGGUGCGGAGGCGGUCUUUCAAGUCAGGAGUGAAAGGCUACGGCGCAACCGUAGUAAGCUCUUGGAACUGGGAGACCUGAGUGCGGGAGAGGGGAGUGGAAUUCCUAGUGUAGCGGUGAAAUGCGUAGAUAUUAG
rnacentral:rRNA from 1 species